AGUCCUGGGGCGAUUGUCGGCUUAGUCGCUGUAUCUUUGAGACUGCCUGUGGGCAGUUGUACGCUAGUGACUAGACCGAACACUCGUGUCCCAGGGCUUCG
rnacentral:pre_miRNA from 2 species